UACGUAGGGACCGAGCGUUGUCCGGAUUCAUUGGGCGUAAAGAGCUCGUAGGCGGCCACUCAAGUCGAAUGUGAAACCUCGAGGCUUAACCUCGAGAUGUCGGCGGAAACCGUCUGGCUAGAGUCCGGAAGAGGAGAGUGGAAUUCCUGGUGUAGCGGUGAAAUGCGCAGAUAUCAGGAAGAACACCUAUGGCGAAGGCAGCUCUCUGGGACGGUACUGACGCUGAGACGCGAAAGCGUGGGGAGCGAACAGG
rnacentral:rRNA from 1 species